GAUCGUUUACCGUGCCAAAAUUAGAGUGCUCAAAGCAGGCAGAUCAAUUUUCUGCCACCGAAUACAUUAGCAUGGGAUAAUGGAAUAGGACCCUGUCCUCCUACGUUCAGUUGGCCUGCCGCGAGGACCAGGGUAAUGAUUAAUAGGAUAGUGGGCACUAAUAUGUAAUUGUCAGAGGUGAAAUUCUUGGAUUUAUGAAAGAUUAACUUCUGCGAAAGCAUCUGCCAAGGAUGUUUUCAUUAAUCAAGAACGAAAGUUAGGGGAUCGAAGACGAUCAGAUACCGUCGUCUUAACCAUAAACGAUGCCGACCAGCGAUUAGGAGACGUUGAAUACAAAACACCACCAUGCGCAUUGCGGUCGUCCUUGGUGUCGCUCACAAGGCGGCACCGGGGCGGCUUAGCUCGCAUGGCACCGGUGAAUGACUCCCUAGCAGCUGA
rnacentral:rRNA from 1 species